AAUGUAAAAAUUUACUUUAUUUAUUUAUAUACUUACUUUAAAAGAAAAUAUUUAAUUGUUAUUGUAAUUAUUUGUGAAAUAAUUUGUUUGGUUAUAGUUUAUUAGUACUUUGAGGGAUUAUUGAAAUACUCUAUUUAUUUAUAAAAGUUGAUUUGAUUAGUCGUACCUUGUGUAUCAGGAUUUAUUAAAUAAAAAAUAUUUAUUUUAUUAUUCCCGAUUUUAAGAGAGCUAUAAUAUUAUAUUAGUUAAUGUAAAAUAAUUAUUUUUAAUAAUAUUCUAGUGGUGAAAUGUUAAUCGUUCUUAAGGGUAUCUGGUUUUUUAAGAAAUGAAUUUAAUUCAGGUAUGUGGUUUAAUAUAUAAUUUUAAUUAGUAAUUAAUAUUUAACUAUUACUAAUACUUUGGGGGACAAGCUUUGAAGUAUAUUUUAAUAAAUUUUUAUUUGUAGUAAGUGAAGUAGAUUUAGAAGUGAUUAUUAUUAAAAGGAUGUUAAAAUUUUACUUAUUUAUUAAGUUAUUUAUAUUUAGUUUUUAAUUUUUUAUUAAAAAUAAUUAUUUAAUUAUAAAUUAAUUUAUAUUAUGAUAAAAUUAGUAUAAUUUUUAUUGUAAAAUAUAUAUAUUUGGUUUAGAGAAAGUUAUUAGGAAUUAGGCAAAUUAUAUGUUCGCCUGUUUAACAAAAACAUCUCUUUUCGUUUAUUUGAAAAGUAUAACCUGCCCACUGAAAAAUUUGAAGGGCCGCGGUAAUUUGACCGUGCAAAGGUAGCAUAAUCAUUAGUCUCUUAAUUAGGGGCUGGAAUGAAUGGUUGGACGAGAUAUAGACUGUCUUGUAAUUUUAAUUAGAACUUAAUUAUUAAGUAAAAAAGCUUAAAUUUAAUUAUGGGACGAGAAGACCCUAUAGAGUUUAAUAAUCAAUUUUAUGUUAUUUGUUGGAGUAUAAAACUAUAUAUUUUAUUAUUUUGUUGGGGUGAUGGGAAGAUAAAAUUAACUCUUUUUAUUAUUGAAUAUUAAUGUAUAGAAUAUUGAUCCAUUAAUAGUGAUUAUAAGUCUAAAUUACCUUAGGGAUAACAGCGUAAUCUUUUUUGAGAGUUCAUAUCGACAAUAAGGGUUGCGACCUCGAUGUUGGAUUAAGAUAAACAUUAGGUGUAGAAGUUUAAAAUGUUAGGUCUGUUCGACCUUUAAAAUCUUACAUGAUCUGAGUUCAAACCGGCGUGAGCCAGGUUGGUUUCUAUCUAUAAUUUAUUAUAAUAUUUUAGUACGAAAGGACCAAAUAUUAAAAAUAAUUUUAUUUUAUUGAUUUUUAUUAAUUG
rnacentral:rRNA from 1 species